ensembl:lncRNA
UUUUUAACCAAGCACUGAGCACUACAGCUUGAGUUCCACCCUGGAUCAGGCAGUAUGUGGGGAAGAGAAGUAUAAGACGAGGGCUCUGCCGCACGGACGUGGGUCUAUUAGGAAGACAAUACCGAUGGCCAAGACGUAAGCCAGAGAACAGUAAAGAGCGUGAAGUGAUUGAAAGUGCAAUGCUGUGGCUCUGAGGCCUGCAUGGCAAGAGGGAAUUUGAGAACUCCCAGAUGAGCUUUGGGUUUGGGCUGUAACGGUUUCAGCUCCUUUACACACAGGAAGAUGUGAAGAGCCUCCCCAAAGAAAAUUGACUCAACGUGAUUGUUUUUCUGUCCCCAAAUGUGUGUGUUCUGUUCAUUUGGGCCCCGGGGCUGGUUUAUUUCCUCCUGCACAAUGUAGGGCCCCUGCUUUCCUGGCGUAAGUGGCAUUUUCUGUUCCUUUGAUGUUCCUCUAUAGCCCCACAGAGAAACCAGAGAAUAAAGCUGUCAGCAGCAAACUCUCUUCCAGCAAGAUGGAACCACAUAAACCUCAGAGAUGUUCAGGGACAGAACAUCUUCUUUCCGUGCUGGGCAAAGCCACACUGUCUGCUACCAACAAGGAAGCAGGCCUGCCGGGACCCUUGCUGUCUGGAAGGGGAUUCUUGCAGUGCUGGAUCCUUGGAAGAAAGUGACGAGACCGAGUAUUCCACAGUUCUUGCCUGGCGUCCUUUCCCUGACCAGCAUGCCCCUGGGGCGCCUGUGUGUUCCAUGCAGCGCUCAGACUGCCUAGUCACUGCGCAGGCCUUCAGUCAUUUCAAAUCCAUCUUACUUAAACGCAGUCCAAGAGGGCAGAGAAACAAGAUUCUGGGUACUUCUCCACAACAUGGGAAAGGGUAUUUAUUUUACCAUCAUCAACAAUAUGGCAAGAUUUAGGGAUUCAAUGAUCAACUGGGCUUGGGGAGCUAGGAAGGGGAGGAGAAGAGACAAAAGUCCCAGCUUCCAAGGGCUCACAGGUCAUUUGAGAUUAAACCUACACUCAUGGAACCAGAAAACACUCCGAACUGUGUCAAGCCAUGUGCGAUGUAGGACAUCUUGUCCCACAAAGUGAUGGGAGAAUGAACACAGAGGUCAAGUUUGAUCUUUUGCCAAAGUCUCGCCAUGGUAACAGGGUUGUCUGCCACUCGCUGAGCAUUUACCUGGCAGGCGCUGAGCCCUUUCAUGGAUGGCCCCACGAUUCUUCAACAACCCUACGAAAUAGAAACUUAAUGGUCCCAUUUUACAGAUAAGAAACUGAUGCUCAGGGAGGUUACGCAACAGAAUUUAAUGAGUGGCAGAGCCAGGACUUGAGCUCGGGAUAUCUGACUGAACAGCCCUAUUCUUAUCCACGCUGGUACACUACCUCUUGGCACAAAGAAUUUUUAUCUAAACUUUGCAAGAGAAAAGGCUGGUUAAAAAAAAAAAAAUCAAAAACAGAGGCUGCUCUGAGGAAGACUGCAGAGUGGAGGAAACAGCAUUCGCAAAGGCUCAAGACCUCUCAGUAGCCAGAGGUGAGCAAAAUGUUUGAAAAAACCAAUGUCCAGCCUUCCAGGGACUCACAGAGGAAGAUGAAUGGGAACUGAGUCUCCUGGGUGGGCACAGCGUUGGGUGUGUGCAGGGAAGGGAGAAGGCUGGAGGCUAAUCCACAAGAACCCCCCCCCAAGGUGGAUAUUUGGAUAUUUGUGAAGAUUUUAGAUAACAAAUGGAACCAGGCCCACAUAAACCACCAGAGUUAAGCUUGGUUCUGAAGGCAAAGCAGCACAGAACCCCUACAUCAAGAAGGCCACUGACUUUGACAAAGGAAACAAGGACCAGGCAAGACAUGAAAGUGAGGAAUUAGUGAAAGAGACACCACCCCUCACUCCCAGCCACUGCCACCUGCCACCAAAGCUCCAGAGAACAACGUGGAGGCACCCGCAGAAGACACACUCCAGCUUGUACCUUAUAAUUCAGAUUUAAUGCACUUGAACAGUCGGUGACUGCGUUGUCCGAGAUCAGAGAAAUUUAGAGCUAGAAGGAACUUCAAGUAACACUGAGUCACCAUCUCCCCUCCCCCUCCCACCGCCACCAGCACGGCCAGCUGUCCCAGCCACCCCACCCCACCCCAACUGCGUCUGGAUAUCACUGGACUCGGCCCAGAUGGGCUCCAGUUCAGAACCUCGAAGAAAGCAAGCUUCACAGGACCUCCUCUGGUCGUGGAUUCCGAUGUUAACCUCAUGUAUGACAAUGAGGCUCUUUCAAAUGCUGUGAUUCAAACUAUUUUUCUCUUUUUCUGCUCUGCAGGACAUAGAGAACAGCUUUCACCUUAAAUCUGUAGGUUUAACAUGCUUUUAUAAGAUAUAUACCAAUUGUUAAAAGUGGUUAUCUCUGACACGAGAUGGUAGAAAAAUUCCUAUUUUUUUUUCAUUGUUGCAUUUCUUUUAAAACCCUGAUAUAUUAUUUCUGCCGUCUCCCGCAAUAAAAGACACAGUAUUUUAAAAGCUCCUCA